rfam:Triticum aestivum genome assembly, contig: Triticum_aestivum_CS42_TGACv1_scaffold_032860_1BL
GAAAUACUCCCUCCGUCCGGAAAUACUUGUCCUCGAAAUGGAUAAAAUGGAUGUGUCUAUAACAAAAAUAAGUCUAGAUACAACCAUUUCGAGGACAAGUAUUUCCGGACGGAGGGAGUAGCUG